CUCCCGCAGGACAUCAGAAAACCCCGAAACAGAAGGUUCACUGGAAUUUUUAUUCAACUCACAAGGACCCAAAGUAUUUUCCAAACCCGGAAAAGUUUGAGCCUUCAAGAUUUGAAGCCACAAUGCAGGCAAAUACAUUUGUACCGUAUGGAAAAGGGCAACAUAUGUGUUAUGGUAACGAGUAUGCUCGAAUUAAGAUCCUCGUAUUUUUGCACAACGUUAUAACUCGAUUUAGAUUGUCAAAAGCUAAUCCUCAAGAGAAAUUAAUCUAUACUCCAGAUCCAGUAUCUGUUGAAGGCCUCCGAAUUCGCCUUCUACCUCAUUAGAAUUGCUAGAGAAUAGAGGUAUAAUAACACCAUAUCAUGUUAUAGAUUGUUUAUGUAUCUUCUAAUUGAUAUUAUCAUGCUGAAAUAAAACCUUCUAAUUGAUAUCUUUUUC